ensembl:lncRNA SEPTIN7-DT SEPTIN7 divergent transcript
GAGGCGCGGCUGGAAGAACCAGACUGAGAAAGUGCCACAGGGCGGGGGCCGCAUCCGCCCCUCGGCUUCUGGUUACUGACCCGACGGCUUUGUGAGUGAAAGUGAAGAGACACUUCGAGGCAGGAGGUCCUGGAACCAAUCCCCUCUGAUACUGAGAGACAACUAUUACACAAGAGAAAUAUUCUACCAUUCACAAAAUCUCGUUUAAGUGUUGUGAAAUACAAACACCAGGGAAUCAAGAACUUUAGAAAAUUGUGGCUGUGUUCCCAUAUGUGGUACAAAGAACCAGUGAGUCCCAUUUGUUGUGGUUCCUGCAUUCGAUGACUCCAGAUGUGCCACCACCGAGCUAGUCUUAUGACAACCUAGAAGGCAAAUUGGGAUGGCCCUAUAUUUGUCACUGAGAGCAGAAGGGUUGAGAACUUAGAUCCUGACAGGAGGCCCACCUUUAUUGGAGAAAUGGCUCUGCAACUUAGGACUAUUACAACUUGUAAAAAUUAGUGAGUUAUACGUGGGAAGCAUUUUGGCCUCACAAUUGAGAAGCAGAGAAGUGGUUCAAGGCUCAUGUAAGACUGCUGGGAUUUGAAAUUUAUCCUAUUAUUUGAAGACUGAAAUCAAAAUAUGAAGGUGGAGCAUCAUGUGUGCCUUCUGUCUUGUUCUCUACUAGGGUGUAAACCAUUUAACUAAAAAUAGUCUCCAAUUUGACACCUUCCCAACAUUUCACUAGUAUACUCCAAAUCUCCAUGCAGGGUUACAGACCUAUUUCAGCUGGCUCCAUUUACUCUGAGGCAGAUAAAGCUGAGAUUGCAACAUCAGAAGCAGUUCAACCAAUCAUUAUGUACAAACCUCAGCCCAUUUGUAUAAUGCAAUCCUUCUGGUAGUAAUGACACAAAACAUGCCUAUAGGGACGAUCACAACCCUGUCAAAGUCCCAAGUCAUCUGUGGCACCAGGGCCACAGAACUUCUUACCACUUGGAAGCAAAAUAGUUGCUUUAAUGGUAACCAAAUGCCCUCCUUCAAGACAGUAUUUCAAGAAGGAGGAGUAUACGUAUAUUAUACAAACAUAUCCAAUCCCUUUAGAAGAUAAUUAUCAAUAUCAUGCAGGGAAGCUGGAACACACACACAAAAUCGAGUACUAUCUAGAAGAUCAAGCCACAAAUCUCAAGAGAAGCAGUAAGUGUCCAGGGCCUGGGAUUUUUUAUCUUGGCCGUGAGAAUAGCACAGCCCAUGGUGCAGAAACGACAGGCUAGUUGUCCAGCAUAACAUGGUGUUUUAUUUCACCAUAGUAGACUGCUGGGAAAUCUCUGGAGGCCUUGGCAGCUGUGUCUUGUCUUUAAUAUGAAGCCUGGGGGGGAAGACAGAGAGAGAGACUCAUAAUUCACAAGAGGCCCAGCCGUAAGAAAGCCAUUCUAAAUAACUGAAUCAGGCACCGAGGAGGAGCGACUAUUCCAUUCCUAAGUCAAGAAUGCUUUUUGUCUUUCCUUCUCUCCUAAUUGGCUCAUGAAAAGAUCAUUUAUGUGUGGUAGAAUCAGUACAUCAGAGGCAGCUUCUGUUUCUCUCCAUUUCUCCUCCCCACUGCUGCUGUCCUGUAAAAAGACCCUUUGUUACAGACUGAAACAGCAGAUGCAGCUCAGAUAUUAUCUUGAAUAAUUUUGUGGGGAGCAUUUUAUCUUGAAUUGGUGUAAUGCCAUUUUCACGUGGAAAGUGGUUCUAUGUCUGAUCCAAAUGUUCUAGAAACUUGAGAGACCCAUAUGGCAAAGAAGUACUUUACACACAUAUCUCUUUAAAGUAGUGCAGGGUAUGGGAAGAACUGAUAAUGCUGAUUAAAUGAUAUGUAGACGAAAUGAAUGUAAACUGGCAUCAUGGGCUGAGUGAGUCAGGGGAGGCCUUGUGGAAGAGAUAAGAGUAAUAGAAAAUGCUAGGUCAAGUAUGUGUAGAGGCCUGGAGAGAGGAAUGGACUUAGUGGGUCCAAAAGUAAGAAGACUUGUUUGUUGUGAAUACAGAGUUAGAAGUAGGUAGAAGAAAAAGUUGGUCGGGUCCUGCAGAGAUUAAAAAUCCGGUUUAAGAUUUUAGAUUGUUUCAAUCAUCAAUUAGUUGGUGUCUGUGUUCAUUGUGGAAAUGCUUUAAAUAUAGAUAACAAAAAGGAUAAUAACUUACAAUCCUACCAGUCGUAGGAUGAUGAUGGCAGACAAUGUGGUGCACAUUCUUUCAUAUAUUUUAUUGUCCUAGUUUAAGGUUCCCUAUAGGCAGAUCCUGAGAUGAAGAUUUAAAUGCACACCACUUAUUGAGGAGGUGAUUUCAGGAAACACCGGCAGGAGAGUGGGGCAGUAUGACAGGGAAAGAAAGGAAGCAAAAAAAUAAAGGGCAUGUUCUCAAAGGAAUCAGUUGGAGAGCAGUCAUGCUGGAGACACUGGAAGAGAGUAUAGAAGAUGUCUCAAUGUAGUCCUGCCUAGGGAUCAGGAAGUCGAAGUAUUUAUCCACUAAUUCUUGUCAAUUGAGAAUUUAUUUGAGGGGCAUUAACUCUCCAAAACGGUCUCCCUGUGCCGGAAAAAUAACCCUAAGCAGAAUGUUGUAGGUAUUUGCAGCAAAUAGCCCUCAGUGUGUCCUGAGGAUUGGUGUAGUACAUAAAUAUACAAAAUUAUUUUUAUUUAUAAAAAAGCUUUCUAUGCAUCAGGCUCUGUACUGUGUGUUUUACUUGCAUUCACUCAAAAUAGUUCUCACAGAAGCCCUAUGAGGUCGGCGCUACUCUUAUCCCCUGAGGAUUAGAGGCUGGGAGAAGUAUAUAUGAGAGUCAUAUGGAGAUUAAAUACCUGAAGUCAUGAGGAGAUGAUGCACUCUCCAAGAGAGCUUUGAUGACAGCCUAUUUAUGCAGCUUCUGUCAUCUGUACACAUUCUCCUCUUUCUGUCAACAAAGAGUUUUUCUUUUGCAAUUGUAAAUGUCCUCUGUUUUCAGAGACUUUUGUUGGAAAACAAAACAAAAUCUUGAGACAUGAAGGAUCUGUAAUGGACACCUGUCGAUUGUGUCUGUUCAGCAGCUCCUCUCCCACCUGUCUUCCAGUACAACACCUUAUUUCAUUGGAGAGAAAGGUUCUACCUCUUCUCCUUAAGGUUUUAGUGGACAGCCAAACCAGUCUUCAGUCUACAGGGUGAGUAUGAGAUCCAGGCUUGACCAACCAUAGUCACCACCCACUUGGCUACAUCAAAUUGAGCCAGAAAGAGCCUUUCCCUGGGAAUUUAUAUGUAGACUUUGGGAAAAGGAAGCUUUCUUCUCUGAUGUUACUAGACAGCGAUGACAAAACCAGUGCUUGUCUGGACCAUGCUCCACUUCCUCUCCACAGCAAGAUGAGCAAGCUCAUCUGUAGUAGGAAAGAAUGUAGGAAUGCAUCCCCUGCACAGAGAAAAGCGGAGGAGAGAAUGAGAGAGAGAGAGAGAGAGAGAGAGAGAGAGAGAGAGAGAGAGAGAUCUGACUGUACUGCUAAGUCCCUGCAAUCCCCACCAAGGUCUGCAAGGUCUACUUCCCCUAGACUACAACUACCCAUUACUUGUGCCAAAUAUUCAAUAAAUCGUAACCUUAGCAGGGAGAGGGAUGAAGAGAGAUUGAUUAAUGGGUAUGUAUAUACAGUAUGAUAGAAGAAAUAAGACCUAGUAUUUCAUCAGUCAGUAGUAUGACUAUAGUUUACAAUAAUCUAUUGUAUAUUUCAAUAUAGCUAGAAGAGAAGAAUUAGAAUGUUUCUAGCAUAAAGAAAACACAAAUAUUUAAGGUGAUGGGAAUCUCAGUUACACUGAUUUUAUCUUUACAAGGCAUAUGAAUGUUUUAAAUUGUCAUAGUACCCCCAAAAUAUGUACAU